UACGGGGGGGGCAAGCGUUGUUCGGAAUUACUGGGCGUAAAGGGUUUGUAGGUGGCUUGUUAAGUCAGACGUGAAAUCCCUCAGCUUAACUGGGGAACUGCGUCUGAUACUGGCGGGCUUGAAUCCGGGAGAGGGAUGUGGAAUUCCAGGUGUAGCGGUGAAAUGCGUAGAUAUCUGGAGGAAUACCGAUGGCGAAGGCAGGUCUCUGGGCUAUAACUGACGCUCAUGCACGAAAGCGUGGGGAGCAAACAGG
rnacentral:rRNA from 1 species